GUAGGUGGGGUAACGGCUCACCUAGGCGACGAUCCCUAGCUGGUCUGAGAGGAUGACCAGCCACACUGGAACUGAGACACGGUCCAGACUCCUACGGGAGGCAGCAGUGGGGAAUAUUGCACAAUGGGCGCAAGCCUGAUGCAGCCAUGCCGCGUGUAUGAAGAAGGCCUUCGGGUUGUAAAGUACUUUCAGCGGGGAGGAAGGGAGUAAAGUUAAUACCUUUGCUCAUUGACGUUACCCGCAGAAGAAGCACCGGCUAACUCCGUGCCAGCAGCCGCGGUAAUACGGAGGGUGCAAGCGUUAAUCGGAAUUACUGGGCGUAAAGCGCACGCAGGCGGUUUGUUAAGUCAGAUGUGAAAUCCCCGGGCUCAACCUGGGAACUGCAUCUGAUACUGGCAAGC
rnacentral:rRNA from 1 species